rnacentral:tRNA from 1 species
AGCCCUAUAGUCUAGUGGCCAAGGAUACGGGCCUUUGGAGCCUGUGACGGAGGUUCGAAUCCUCCUAGGGCUA